GAGUCUUCCUCCAUGUACACACACUGGGUGCUACAAGGUCCCUCUGGACCUGGCCAAACUUCACACAUCUGCUGCACCACCUAUAGGUGCAUAUACAUCUGCUGCACUAUGGCGCUGAUCUGGUAGGGUCACCCAGAAGAAGAUGGGUUCCUGUUGAUUCUGGUUCCUCUGAAGAAGAGUCAACAGUGUCCUGCUCCAAAUUCGCCACAGCUAAAAGUGGAGUGUCCACAGUACUGCUCUGUCCCACUGCACCAGGGUCCUCUGAGGGGACAACGAUAACGUAACGGUCAUCUUCAUCCGCAGCCGAGCUC